rnacentral:rRNA from 1 species
GAUGAACGCUGGCGGCGUGCCUAAUACAUGCAAGUCGAGCGAACAGACGAGGAGCUUGCUCCUCUGACGUUAGCGGCGGACGGGUGAGUAACACGUGGAAAACCUACCUAUAAGACUGGGAUAACUUCGGGAACCGGAGCUAAUCCCGGAUAAUAUAUUGAACCGCAUGGUUCUAUAGUGAAAGACGGUUUUGCUGUCACUUAUAGGUGGAUCCGCGCCGCAUUAGCUAGUUGGUAAGGUAACGGCUUACCAAGGAAACGAUGCGUAGCCGACCUGAGAGGGUGAUCGGCCACACUGGAACUGAGACACGGUCCAGACUCCUACGGGAGGCAGCAGUAGGGAAUCUUCCGCAAUGGGCGAAAGCCUGACGGAGCAACGCCGCGUGAGUGAUGAAGGUCUUCGGAUCGUAAAACUCUGUUAUUAGGGAAGAACAAAUGUGUAAGUAACUAUGCACGUCUUGACGGUACCUAAUCAGAAAGCCACGGCUAACUACGUG